rnacentral:lncRNA from 1 species
AGGUGGACAGAAUGAUAAAUGAAUUCCAUAUUUACCUGACAAAAGAUGGCAGAAUAUCAGUCGCUGGUGUAACAUCAGGAAAUGUUGCCUAUGUAGCUAAUGCCAUACAUUAAGUUUUCAAGUGAAAAUAAGACAUAGAAACAGUUACAGUACAUUGCUCUCCUUACAUUAUAUCUUGGAAUCCAGAAUUCCAAUAAAUAUUCUCUUGUCAAUUUUUUAGCAAGAAAACUGCUUCUGCUAUGAUGUGUUUUGAAAGUUACUCACAAUAUGCUUAUAGUAUUUUUUUAAACUGUUGAAAAAGCGAAAAUUUAUUUUGUUUGGG